GAUGAAGAACGCAGCGAAAUGCGAUAAGUGAUGUGAAUUGCAGAAUUCAGUGAAUCAUCGAAUCUUUGAACGCACAUUGCGCCCGCCAGUAUUCUGGCGGGCAUGCCUGUUCGAGCGUCAUUUCAACCAUCAAGCCCCCGGCUUGUGUUGGGGACCUGCGGCUGCCGCAGGCCCUGAAAAGCAGUGGCGGGCUCGCUGUCACACCGAGCGUAGUAGCAUACAUCUCGCUCUGGGCGUGCUGCGGGUUCCGGCCGUUAAACCACCUUCAUAACCCAAGGUUGACCUCGGAUCAGGUAGGAAGACCCGCUGAACUUAAGCAUAUCAAUAAGCGGAGGA
rnacentral:misc_RNA from 1 species